UUCCUCUCGGGUUGCAUCGACCACUUUUAUUUUUACCAACCAAUUCCACCGCUGAAAAUUAGUUUCACUUACAAAAAACACGCUGGUAGCAUAUUUUGUCCUUUCCUUUGAAGGCCCUGGAAUUCCUGUUCCUCUCCACCCCCACAAAUUUUUCAGGAAGCUUUUGAUCUUGAAGAAUUCUAAACCUAAGUCUGGUGAAUUUUGGGGAGAGUUACUGGAAACACCUUGACAAAUAAAGCAUCGUUCAGGGACAUGACUCCAAAAUACAUCUAUUAAAACAGAAGAGGAAAAUGGCAACUGUCUCACAUCCAGUCAGAUGAUGCAUGGAAAUUUAGGCAAAUACACUUGGAAAGCUCCAAAUUAAAAUCGAAAAUGAUAAUAAAACUAGUUUGUUGAACUAGAUAAGAUAGGAGAAGAAAGCCUGCAGGGAUCCUGUUUCAGAAGAUUGAUGAAGAAAAUUUUGAAGGAUAAUGAGCCAAAAAUUCAAGAGCGUCUUUGAAAAACACCGGCAGAGAAUUUUGUCGCUUCCAUAAAUAAGCAGUUUUGUAUGGACUUGGGAAGUUUUACACCUUUGGAAUAACCCUACCAUCAGAAAGACAAGAAUGAAUCUAAAUGGAAGUUCUACUACUUUCUCCUCAUUCUUUGGUGAAUGCUUUUGCACUACACACCCCAAAGCUCAGACCCCUUAUCCAAAUGAUACAAAAAUGAAGAUCAUCAUUUCACAUGGAGCGAAAACAGAAGGUGCUAAAGAAGACAAAUAAUCGUGGUGAAAAUGUUGGUUAAAGAGGAAAAGAUAUUCAAGGCACCACUUCCUGCUGAGGGCUUUCCUCUCUACCUACCAACAGCAGAUCUCUCUCACACUUAGCUCUCACACUUUGCCCUCCAUGGUGGUAGAGCUUGGCUGGAACAUUUGGCAGUCCAGUAUCAUCUGCAGAACAUUUACCAGCAAUAUUAACUGUUUGGUUAAUCUUCUCUUGAUACAGAAGGAGAACUCUCUUAUGUAAAUUUUUCUAAAGUUGUUAAAGACUGUAGGUCAAUAAUUGCUUAGGCCUGAAAAUCAUUGUGCUCAAAUAAAUAUUUGGAAUAUUUGUGACCUGCCACUUUUCUCCUGAUAGGUAUCUGAUUCAAGAUCUAUACGCAUCUAGGGAGAUAAAAAUUUUUUAUUUCUUUAGCAAUGAUCUGUUCCCCUGGUAAACUUAGGACACAGAAUAGAUAAAGAGCUUUUUGACUAUGAACUUUGUACGAAAUCUGUUCUUCUGAUGAAUAACAGUAAAGUUUAAAUAUUACUAAAUGACCCCACCAAAAAUUUUCCAUGCUCUCCGUUUAAAUCUGCUUUUGUAUCUGGCUUCUUGUGGUGAAAUCACAUCUGCAUUUUCAAAAUUUGCAUUUUUGAGAUCAGAUAUCAACAUUUGCUUUAUCUGGAUGUUUUCAUAUUUCCAAAUGUUAUGACAUGAAGAAAUGUUAUUUCCUAAAUGAACAAGUUUUGUCAUGGUUAAUGUACUUUAGAUAUCUGUAUGUGUUUAUAAAAAGCUCUGAAUGAUGAAACCAUAUUCAACCACAAUGAUUUCAUGUGUGAUUUUACUUUAAAAAUUCUGGAAUUAUGAAAUAUACCUUAGGCAGGAUGGCAACUUUUCUUGCAAAAUACAAUCUCAGGCAUCUUAUUGCCUUCUUUAUAUGUUCAUCUUUCUCCAAAUGUAAAACUCUAGUAAGAAAGUUUGCUUAAUUUUUUUUUUUUGUUUACCUUAAGUCACUUUUUCUCCUACUGUUUAGAGUGGGCCAUUAAUUUUAAAAUAGAAUUAGCUCUAUAAUUAUGAUUAAAACUGGAAAAUACAUUG